rnacentral:rRNA from 1 species
AUUGAACGCUGGCGGCAUGCCUUACACAUGCAAGUCGAACGGCAGCACGGGGCAACCUGGUGGCGAGUGGCGAACGGGUGAGUAAUGCAUCGGAACGUACCUUUCAGUGGGGGAUAACGUAGCGAAAGUUACGCUAAUACCGCAUAUUCUGUGAGCAGGAAAGCAGGGGAUCGCAAGACAUUGCGCGGAUUGAGCGGCCGAGGUCAGAUUAGCUAGUUGGUGAGGUAAAGGCUCACCAAGGCAACGAUCUGUAGCGGGUCUGAGAGGAUGAUCCGCCACACUGGGACUGUGACACGGUCCAGACUCCUACGGGAGGCAGCAGUGGGGAAUUUUGGACAAUGGGGGCAACCCUGAUCCAGCCAUGCCGCGUGAGUGAAGAAGGCCUUCGGGUUGUAAAGCUCUUUCGGCCGGGAAGAAAUCGCACGGGCUAAUACCCUGUGUGGAUGACGGUACCGGAAUAAGAAGCACCGGCUAACUACGUGCCAGCAGCCGCGGUAACAC